rnacentral:rRNA from 1 species
CCUACGGGAGGCUGCAGUGGGGAAUAUUGGACAAUGGGCGAAAGCCUGAUCCAGCCAUGCCGCGUGUGUGAAGAAGGCCUUCGGGUUGUAAAGCACUUUCAGUGGGGAAGAAAGCCUUGGGGCUAAUACCCUCGAGGAAGGACAUCACCCACAGAAGAAGCACCGGCUAACUCCGUGCCAGCAGCCGCGGUAAUACGGAGGGUGCGAGCGUUAAUCGGAAUUACUGGGCGUAAAGCGCGCGUAGGCGGUCUGAUAAGCCGGUUGUGAAAGCCCCGGGCUCAACCUGGGAACGGCAUCCGGAACUGUCAGGCUAGAGUGCAGGAGAGGAAGGUAGAAUUCCCGGUGUAGCGGUGAAAUGCGUAGAGAUCGGGAGGAAUACCUGUGGCGAAGGCGGCCUUCUGGACUGACACUGACGCUGAGGUGCGAAAGCGUGGGUAGCAAACAGGAUUAGAUACCCCGGUAGUC